CCCAUGGUGGCGGGUCUCAUAGACAGAGGGUAAAGCAUGUGCGUAGCAAACAUUGGCGAGCUAUAUUUACCACUACUCGCUGCCAAUCCUGGCAACCACAGCAUGCACGUGGUUUCAGUGAUGUUUAACAUAGCAUAUAGAACCUGGGCAUUGUCUGCUGCUUCCUGGUCAUUGUUUUAUCAACUUUGACUGCCCCCCCACCACCACCACCACCAUUUUAUUAUGGAUGCAGAGUUCGUCAGUGACCUAGUGCGUUCCAGCCUCUCACACAGAAGGUGUGUGUGGGCCCAGUUAGUGGCAUGUAAGGGGCAACCGCACGACAAGUGAAAGCAAGUGAACAUGUUCAAAACCCUCCUCACAACCUGCCAAGUGCAGUAAACCAUGUGGUGUUUUUGUGAGUAGUGGCGUGUUUGUGGUGGAUAGUGAUAAGUUGGGUGCUACAUUCACCACUAAAUGCCACAAACCAAAGUGGUUAAUUGAACCAAUCAGCUUCUUUCCACAUGCAGCACGACAGCGUGACAUUGAGGGCUGUACAUCAUCCACUGAAAAAGGGUAAAUCUCCAUGGAAACCAUUAAACCAACCAUUCUGUAGAGUAAGUCUUUGUAGAAAACAUAGAGUUCAACUUUUUUGGUGAAAACCUCACUUUUUACAUGAUUUAUACAAAUACAAUUUAAAAGAGGAAAAACUGUCCGACCAAACAUGACGCUGGCGUGCAGCCAUGCUGUAUAGUGAAAACCGGCCUUGAGGAUACGAGCCCAGUUCCUGCCACCAUCACCAAGGAUACAGGUACACUGAUUAAAAAAAAAAA